CGUACUCGAAGGCACCAGGAAAACAGACUUUAAGCUGCUUGCAGAGAAAAACAACCCGGUCUCAAGGACGGAAGGCAUCAUGUCAAGUUACCUCUUUAAUUCAAAGCAGAGGGUUUGGAAGGAGCUCCUUAAGCAGGGUUGUACCAGAUAACAUACAACCAAGCUGGAGCUGAUAAGCCCUCUGGAAUCCUGAGCCAAAAGAGAGAUCCCAUCCUUGGACCUCAGGAUCUGCUGGUGAAAAGCCUUGGGGUUACGACGCCAGCUCUUGGAGCCCAGCCCCGUUCCUGCACAUGAGUUGUUACUCCUGGGACCCGGCUCCUUCCCUGCACACGCGUCUCAGCGGUGAGCGGAUGCUGGCUCAGAAAGAUGCCGCGGGGUGUGUGGAACAUCCACACUCCAUCACCCACCGAGAGUCCGCCAUCCCCCAUCUCCCGCACGACCCCCUCCAGCCUGCUGGGAGGCCACACAGAGGACUUGGGUUUAGCCCAGACCUGGCCUCUGCCAUCACUGACAGGCCCUUGGGGAGGCAGCGUGGGGCUGCAUCCAUCCAUCCGGGUGGUGGCUCCCUCCCUCCCUCCGUGCGGUCGGCAUUCCGCUCAGUCACAGACCUGGGGUCUCGCAGGGGUGUCCGCUGUCCAGGCCUGUCCUGACCCAUCGUGGAGCCAGUCAGGGGCAGAAGCCACCCGCUGGGCCGGCCGGCUCUGGGACCUUGGGCCCCGGCUGCCCAGCUGGGCUGCUCUCAAUCUGGGCUGCCAAGAGCUGGGGACAAUGGCCUCAUGGAACUCGGGUCUAGUCCUCGUACCAGCAGGAACCCAGAUGGGCCCCAUUCCCAACCGCCGUGGUCUCUGUCAGACACACACAGACACACACACAUACUCACACACGGCACAGAUGCACGCACACACUCCAGUUGCCUUCCAAGCACAGCACCAGAGCAGUCAGCAAUGCUGGACCCCACUUACCAGGACUCUGGCCCAGAUGGGGGCCCCCUCGCCUCCCCCACUCGGUCCCCACGCCCUUGUGCACGUGGCCUCCCCCCCAUGCUGUUCCUUCCAGCUCCGACCUCUUAGUGCCUCUGGGACCGACUGAGGAAGAGCAUCCGUUUCCCGAGCCCCGUUUCCCUCUGUCCCUGACCCGAGCCUUCCUCCUAACCCACAGGAUGUAUUUCUGCAUCCUUCCCGGAGCAGUGAUGUCUGUGUACAAACUCCCCCAAACCCCUGGCAGGGUUCUGGAGGCUGCUUUCUCGGCCACUGAAGACAGCUCCCUGGAGGCCUGGUCUGCACUCUGUAAGGCCAGAAGUUAUCCAGUCCCCGAGACUGCUGCUGUUUCUGCCAGUUUUACUGUGGCCAGAGGCUGGUGGCCGGCUGGCACCUCACCAGCCCCACACAAGCAGCACCGAUGUUGCGAGGAUGCUGUGGGGAGGAGCCUGAGGACCACGUUCCAGAAGCCGCACCAGCAUCGAGUUGUAAGAACAGUACCAAGAACUCCUACCUGUUCUGUACCCAGUUCUCCACUGUUAACAAUGACCACAUUUACUUUAUCACUAUUAAUAAGUGCAUAGGUUUAAUGUAAUCUCCCCAAAUGACCUAAAGAGCUUCCUUCCUUCACAAACAGACAAGCAAAUUCACUGAAAAUAAGCAAGUAAGCACAGUCCAGCAAGACUCUAAAGCAGAAGAGAAAAAAAAAAGAGAGAGAGAGAAAUAAAGCAGAAGAGAGAAACAAGGAGAGAUUGGUCUCCCCGGUUCUUAAAACCCUCACAAGGCCUUGGUGAUUAAUACAGAAUAUGAAUAGACACACAGCCCACUGGAACAGCAGAGAAAGUCCAGAAAUAGCCCUGAGUGCCCAUGGGACAUUAAUAUAUGACAAAUGGGGUCAAAAGAGGAUUUUGUGGUAAACAGCGUAGGGACCAGUGGCUGGUUGUUGGGGGAAGGGAAGCGGGGACCACCCAGAGUCCAUCCAGAGAGACCCCAUGGUAAAGUUGUCAAUUGGAAAGUAAGCCCCUGCAAGUGCUGCCAGAGGGGUCUGUAAGUGGGCCUGAUCUAUGCCCCCUGCGUCCACCACACAGAGUUCAGACCCCUCGCUCCCUCAUUCUGGGCCCUGGACUGCUGUCCACGGGGACACCACCCGCAGCAGGCUUCUCCCAGCGUGGAGCUACGGCCAGACAGGGAGGUGCGAGGAACGUGAGGGUGGGGUGCUCGCUCCUGGUCCCCCCAGACGGGGGCCCCUCUCUAGGCAGCCUGGUCUACACGUUCCCUCCCUGCAGGCUGCAUGACUCCUCCACCCCGGGGGGCCCAGGGUGAUGGCCUCUCUUGCUGCAGGGCCCCCAUUCUCACCUCUGGGCCCCCCAACACUUGCCCAGGCCCUUGUCAUUAGUCGCUUUGUAUGCAAUCCCCACUUGGGUCACCAGACUUUGAGUGUGCCCUGUAAUUCCUGUUGGGACUCUAAAUAGAAUAACCUUGGAGUUGACAGACAUAUGGAACUAGGUCUCAAAAUCCAGCAGCCAAAACACAGAGGUGAACAGCUGCAAGCAUAGAGACUUCCCGGGUGGUCCAGUGGUUAAGACUUCGCCUUCUAAUGCUGAAGGUGCCUGCUCGACCCCCAGUUGGGGAGCUGAGACCCCAGGGUGCCUCUCAGCCAAAGAGCCAGGACACAGAAAGAAGCAAUGUUGUAACAGAUUCAAGAGGGACUUUGAAAAUGGCCCCCAGUUUAAAAAAACUGCAAAUGUGAGCAGCAGCCACUUCCAUACAGAAAACCAAACCAAACCGCAACCCAGAAGGGAAAGCGAAAAGGGCAGAACCUGGGAAACUGCACCUCCCGACACAGAGAAGCGUUUUUCUCCAAAAUACAUGAAGCGCUCUCAGAGAUGAAAGCAGAGAAGACCACAAGACCAACAGAAAAACAGGCCGAGGUCACAGGCGGUUCACAGAACAAGAAAUACACAUGGUUCAAAACACGUGCAAGCCUGACAGUCAGAGACGCCUGCAGUCAGUGCAGCAGGACGCAGGUCUCAUCGGCCAGCUGGGAAGGCGGUGGGAGUCUGACCAAGCACUCUGGUGUCGGGGGGCGAGGGUGCCCAGGUGCCCACGCUGUUGUCCUUUCUCAGUGGAUGUGCCCGCCUGCCUGUGAGGGGCACGGCCAGCAAGACCUCCAACGGCCUUUCCCCGACUCCGUGACCUGCUCCUGGGGCUACCCCUGACGCGGGGACACUGACCUCUGACCAGGUGGCUCCCUGUAGGAUUGUUUGUGAUUAUAAAACACGUGCAACCAGCAAGUGGCCAAACCCGAGCACCUGGCUAGGUAACCCGAUGACUUACCAGGGCCUGUCUCUGUGAGGAGGAAGAGGACGCUCCCUUGGAGCUAAAAGCAAAAUGUUCCCUGGGCACUUGGCUAGGUGAAAACAGAGUAAGUGCAAAAAGCAUGGUGCAUUUGGCGUGCCAACUCUGGGGUAAGAAGGUAGGAAAUAGGAACAUGCAUGUCUUUGGUCUUGAGUUUGCACAGAGAAGGGAGGCCGAAGGUAUAAGGAAAUUGGGGAGGACACAGAUGCGGGGUGGGGGCCAGGCCAGGUGGGAAGGAGGAGUCUCAGUGCCGACCUUCCUUACUGCUUCAGUCCAUGAACGGGUGCUUAUGCCCAAGGAUGGAGCGUAAAGGAGUCAAGGAUGCAGGGGAGAUGGAGAUAUCGACCACGCUGCAGAGUUUGAGAGAACGGUGGCCAUCCUCCGUGAGGGUGGCAGGGCCGCAGUCUCUGAGGUCAGAGGUGAAGAGUGUGGCACUUGGGAUAGAAGGGACCUCAGCUUGGACCUUGCUGUUUCUGCCUUCCUGCUGGACGCUGACCUGACCCCUCUGAGCUCAGUGUGCACGACUGGGCAAUGGGUCUCUCAGCCCUGAUGUCACAGGGUCCUGAGGAUGUCAUCGACGUCCUGGCAAAGCGCUGGCUCAUAGGAAAUACAAGACACUAUUGUUUCCAUAGCUUUUAGCAGAUGUGUUGAAAGGUUAGAGUUUAAUUGCCCAUGUGAACUCUUUUUACCAAAAAUUCUCCCUGGAAAAUGAAAUUGUUGUCUUCCAAAUAUACACUGAGUCUUCUGUUUUGAGAAGCGUGGCUGAGGGCUCUUUGCUCACUGUGACUCCAACAUUUAACAAGUGCAUCCAGCAUGGAAACUUAUACAUGACCACGUGUAAAACAGACAGCCAGUGGGAAGCUGCAGUGUAACACUGGGAGCUCAGGUAAGUGUGGGCUUCCCGAUAGCUCAAUUGGUAAAGGAUCCGCCUGCAAUGCAGGAGACCCUGGUUUGAUUCCUGGGUUGGGAAAAUCCACUGGAGAUGGGAUAGGCUACCCACUCCAGUAUUCUUGGGCUUCCCUUGUGGCCUGGCUGGUAAAAGAAUCCGCCCGUAAUACAGGAGACCUGGGUUCGAUCCCUGGGUUGGGAAGAUACCCUGGAGAAAGGAAAGGCUACCCACUCCAGUAUUCUGGCCUAAAGAAUUCCAUGGACUCUAUAGUCUAUGGGGUCACAAAAAGUCGGAUACAACAGUGACUUCACGGUUGAUUCACAUUGUU